UGGCAAGACAAGGCAGUCUAC
rnacentral:miRNA from 1 species